UGAGGAAUCUUGCGCAAUGGGGGAAACCCUGACGCAGCAACGCCGCGUGAGUGAAGAAGGCCUUCGGGUCGUAAAGCUCUGUCAGAUGGGAAGAAAUGGAUGGGGGCUAAUAUCGUCCAUCCUUGACGGUACCAUCAGAGGAAGCACCGGCUAACUCCGUGCCAGCAGCCGCGGUAAUACGGGGGGUGCAAGCGUUGUUCGGAAUCAUUGGGCGUAAAGCGCGCGCAGGCGGUGCGAUAAGUGGCAGGUGAAAUCCCUCGGCUUAACCGGGGAACGGCCUGCCAAACUGUCGCGCUUGAGGCUGGGAGGGGAGAGCGGAAUUCCUGGUGUAGCGGUGAAAUGCGUAGAUACCAGGAGGAACACCGGUGGCGAAGGCGGCUCUCUGGACCAGUUCUGACACUCAUGCGCGAAAGCGUGGGUAGCAAACA
rnacentral:rRNA from 1 species